UUCUCUAUUCUCAAGACAUCUUCAGUUCUUUAGUUUGGAAUAAGGCUUAGCUACUUUGAUAACACAGGUGUUAAUGUGCUAUUAAUUAUAAAUAAUCAGCUAAUUCUGCUUCUGCAGAAUCAAACCCUCAAAUUGCAAGAAGAGGAAUUCUUGAUAAAUUUAUCUAAUUUUUGAUAAAUUUAUCUAAUUGUCUUGCCUAGCAUUGCUGCUGAAAAUUAAAGUAACAUUUGAAUAGUUGUUUGUUGACAAGGAGCUUUCUGGUAAUAUAUUAAUACAUUAGCUUAUAAGAAUUUUGAGAGGCUCACAUCAAUAAAAAAACGGAAGUUCAAAAAAUUUAUGACAUGAUUAGAAAAAUAAGUUGAACUUAAAUCUUGGUUUCCAUAAUUACUCUCAUUGGCUUUGUUUUGGCUUCAUAAUCAUGGAACUAUAGAUUUCCCAGAGCUUGAAGGAACAUUAACAUGUCAAUCAGUCCAACUCUUCCUCCACUCAAUAUGAGAAAAAAAAGAAGAAAAAACGUCCCAAAGAGAUUGACUCCUCACACAGCUAUCAAGCGGCAGACCAAACCUUUGACCUCUAGGCUACCUUCCAGUCUAGCUCUCAACACAACAGUUACAAUAGGUGUGACAUCCUCACACCUACGCAUUAUAGCAAUGAAUAUGCAAACGACGCCAGGAAAUUACAUUAUCACGUUCUCUCCUUUCCCUCUAGUUCCCAGAAGCUAUCUCCCGUAGACAUCGUAUGUCAAAGUGCUUGCCACUGAGACUGCACUUGGAAGACGUUUGGUAAAAGCCUGAAUAACAGAAAGAGUAUCCCUUCCCCCUGACUUUUUUGCUUUGAGGGUAAAAUUCCAAAUAUUUAAGACAAAUCCCAAUAAGACCAGGCCGUGACAUGGUCUCCAUACGACGAGAUUAAUGGUAAUGGCAGUGCUGUCAAGCGCAGGACAGGACGAACUCUGUGGCAGCUUGCGGUCACUCUUUCACCUGCUAGAUACAGCAGUGCUGUGGAGUCACGAGAAACAACCAGAAUGGAAGAAGGACUGACACUUGCUCAAGUACCACACUGCCAAUCUGCUGCCCGGACCUAAGCCGCCCAAUGCCUAACAAGACUUCCCUAACCUCUCCGAUAGCCCCUUAGCUUGUUGUUAGGGUAAGGAGGGUAAAAACAGUAAUAGGACCACGAUAAGAAGAGCAGUCUCUAAAACAACCGGUCUCUGAAAACAUCACAGCUAGGGUAGCCUCACCGCGUUGCCCGGCAACAGCGGCGGCGCUCGGCUCCCAGAACUGGAGGCGGCCUCAAGACGUCAGGGAGCGGCGCGCUUUUUCCACCAAGGGACCUUUACGUCAUCACGUAUCCUUGCAACGUCACUACGCUCUGAGUAGGCCGGCAGUCAUAGGCGAGUAGACCUUAGGCGAGAGAAGGCACGUACUUUCCCUAAGAAGCGGGAGGAGAGAAAUAGAGGGCAGUGGGAUGAGAAGAACCUCGCGCGUGGGAAGCCGUGGAGGGAAGGGCCGUCUUUGGUUACCUGGGGAGCGGGAGCAGCUGCGGAUCCUUUAUGAAGUGCCCGGAUGAACCUCCAGCACCCACGCGCUUUCCGCAUUGAGUGCAGCGCCAUCUUGAGAAGGGCGGAGCCGUCUUGUUCGUAAUGACGUCUGUUCAGAGAGCCAAUCCCAGUCUCGCGACUCCUGCUUGCUGGGCGCGGCCCGGGCCUCCAGGCUCCGCGGCGCAGCCGCUAUCAGGCGGAGUGCAGUUUUUACCGAGCAGCCAGCUACUGAAAAUUACCAAGGAGAGGUAGGAGAUAAGGAGCUGAAAUCUACCAGGAUAAGGAAACUAAGAUCAAAGAGAAUGCAAAUGAAGUCAAACUGCUCUUUAGGAGAGUGUGGACCAGAACGUGCACAGAUUUUCUGUGUCUCUACCCCAAGGGCUUUAUGGUAGACAGAAUGACGGGCCCUGAAGAUGACUAUAUGGCAGAAGGAACUUUGCAGAUGUGAUUAAAAAUCUUGAGAUGAGAAUAUUAUCCUGGUUUAUUCUCCAAUGUAAUCAUAGAGGUUUUUCUAACAGGGAGGCAGGAGAGUCAGUCUGAGAAGGAAAUGGGAUGAUGGAAACAGAGGUUGGAAGAUGGAAGGGGACCCAGAGCCAAGGAAUGCAGGUAGAAAAGAAAAGCCUGGAUUCUCCCCUAAAGCCUCCAGAUGGAAUUCAGCCCUGCCUCCACCUUGAUUUCAGGGCUUCUUACCCCAAGAACCGUAAGCUAAUACAUUUGUUUCUG